rnacentral:snRNA from 1 species
AUCUGAGGGCGAUCUGGCUGCGACAUCUGUCACCCCAUUGAUCACCAAGGUUGAUUCGGCUAUCUGGCUGGCUAGGCGGGUGUCCCCUUCCUCCCUCACCGCUCCAUGUGUGUCCCUCCUGAAGCUGCGUGCUCGGUCGAAGAGGACGUCCUUCCCCGAAUAGAGGAGGACCGGUCUUCGGUCAAGGGUAUAUGAGUAGCUGCGCUCCCCUGCUAGAACCUCCAAACAAGCUCUCAAGGUCUAUUCAUAAAUUUUUAAAGAAAUAACCUAAGUGAAUAUUUGCUAUUGAGGAUAUUGGGGCUAAGUUU